GACGAACGCUGGCGGCGUGCUUAACACAUGCAAGUCGAACGGAAAGGCCCUGCUUGCCGGGUACUCGAGUGGCGAACGGGUGAGUAACACGUGGGUGAUCUGCCCUGCACUUCGGGAUAAGCCUGGGAAACUGGGUCUAAUACCGGAUAGGAGCCAUUUUUAGUGUGAUGGUUGGAAAGUUUUUUCGGUGUAGGAUGAGCUCGCGGCCUAUCAGCUUGUUGGUGGGGUAAUGGCCUACCAAGGCGGCGACGGGUAGCCGGCCUGAGAGGGUGGACGGCCACAUUGGGACUGAGAUACGGCCCAGACUCCUACGGGAGGCAGCAGUGGGGAAUAUUGCACAAUGGGCGCAAGCCUGAUGCAGCGACGCCGCGUGGGGGAUGACGGCCUUCGGGUUGUAAACUCCUUUCGCUAGGGACGAAGCUUUUGUGACGGUACCUAGAUAAGAAGCACCGGCUAACUACGU
rnacentral:rRNA from 1 species